AUCAACGCUGGCGGCGUGCCUCAGACAUGCAAGUCGAACGAUUAAAGCUCCCUUCGGGGAGUGCAUAAAGUGGCGCACGGGUGAGUAACACGUAAGUAAUCUACCCUCGGGUGGGGAAUAACGUCCGGAAACGGACGCUAAUACCGCAUAAUGCAGCGGCACCGCAAGGUGACAGUUGUUAAAGAUUUAUUGCCUGGGGAGGAGCUUGCGGCAGAUUAGCUUGUUGGUAAGGAACGGCUUACCAAGGCUACGAUCUGUAUCCGGUCUAAGAGGACGGUCGGACACACUGACACUGAAUAACGGGUCAGACUCCUACGGGAGGCAGCAGUCGGGAAUUUUGGGUCAAUGGGGGAAACCCUGACCCAGCAACGCCGCGUGAAGGAUGAAGUAUUUCGGUAUGUAAAC
rnacentral:rRNA from 1 species